GAAAGUGAAGUCGCUCAGUCGUAUCCGACUCUUAGCGACCCCAUGGACUGCAGCCCACCAGGCUCCUCCGCCCAUGGGAUUUUCCAGGCAAGAGUACUGGAGUGGGGUGCCAUCGCCUUCUCUGGAAACGCGGUAGAAUAGCUGUUAAAACCAACAACAACUCCAUUUCUGAGCUUUGGUGAACACACAUGGCGAGCUGCCAGUCUAAAGUUCUCAAAAUAAAAACAGCAAAUAGAAGACAUUGACUGCUAAAGACCUUCUCAGUUACAACAAGCGUUUCUUGAAAACUCAACAAUGGUGCAACAUUAUGAACCAUUUGUUCUAGAGAAUUCAGUCAAGAGGAUUACGGGCCUCUAUUCCUCCCACUGGAAGGUUGGCAUGACUGGAAGCUGGAAGAAAAACCACAACUGAAUAGCCUGGCACUUUCUUUAACAGUCGUUUCCAGCCACAGAUUAAUACUAUUACUGGAUUUGACUAACGGCUCUCAAUCAGC